rnacentral:rRNA from 1 species
UACGAAGGGGGCUAGCGUUGUUAGGAAUUACUGGGCGUAAAGCGCACGUAGGCGGAUAUUUAAGUCAGGGGUGAAAUCCCGCAGCUCAACUGCGGAACUGCCUUUGAUACUGGGUAUCUUGAGUAUGGAAGAGGUAAGUGGAAUUCCGAGUGUAGAGGUGAAAUUCGUAGAUAUUCGGAGGAACACCAGUGGCGAAGGCGGCUUACUGGUCCAUUACUGACGCUGAGGUGCGAAAGCGUGGGGAGCACACAGG